UACGGAGGGGGCUAGCGUUGUUCGGAAUUACUGGGCGUAAAGGGCUCGUAGGUGGCCGACUAAGUCAGACGUGAAAUCCCUCAGCUUAACUGGGGAACUGCGUCUGAUACUGGAUGGCUUGAGUUUGGGAGAGGGAUGCGGAAUUCCAGGUGUAGCGGUGAAAUGCGCAGAUAUCAGGAGGAACACCCGUGGCGAAGGCGGCUCUCUGGGACGGUACUGACGCUGAGACGCGAAAGCGUGGGGAGCGAACAGG
rnacentral:rRNA from 1 species